CAGGGAGACAAACAACGAUUUUGAUGUCUGAGUUAUUUAUUCUUAGGCCGAAAUCCUGUCACCUUAGGUCGAUCGGUACCUCAACUUUGAAGCUAAGAGUUCCAGCAAUGGAUUUCUGCUUAGUGGAGAUUUUUAGUUCCUAAACUUUGUCUAGUUCACAACCCAUUAGGGAUGAGACUCCUGGGCCAUUAGCUCAGGUGGUUAGAGCGCACCCCUGAUAAGGGUGAGGUCCCUGGUUCAAGUCCAGGAUGGCCCAUUCGGUGUAGGGGGUUUAGCUCAGUUGGUAGAGCGCCUGCUUUGCAAGCAGGAUGUCAGGAGUUCGAGUCUCCUAACCUCCACUGACUGCAAAGAAUCCCCAUCUCCAAAACCUGGAGUAUGAACUCGUGUGGAUUGUGAUUUAGAUGUGUCCGCUAAAUGACCCUAGCUUCUUGUCAUUUUAAGGUGUGCGAAUUAUUCCAUGAUUUGAUUGAUAAGAU
rnacentral:tRNA from 1 species